rnacentral:rRNA from 1 species
CACACGACUCUCGGCAACGGAUAUCUCGGCUCUCGCAUCGAUGAAGGACGUAGCGAAAUGCGAUACCUGGUGUGAAUUGCAGAAUCCCGCGAACCAUCGAGUCUUUGAACGCAAGUUGCGCCCGAGGCCAUUCGGCUGAGGGCACGCCUGCCUGGGCGUCACGC